GCCAGGAGUGGUGGCACGCACCUGUAGUCCCUACUACUUGGGAAGCUGAAGUGGGAAGAUUGCUUGAGCCCAGAAGUUCUGGGUUAUGAUGACUGAGUGUCUGCACUAAGCUUGGCAUCAAUAUGGUGACCUCUUGGGAGUGGGGGACCACCAGGUUACCUAAGAAGAGGUGAAUCAGCCCAGGUCGGAAACCAAGCAGGUCAAAACUCAUGGGCUGAUCAGUAGUAAGGUCACCCCUGUGAAAAGCCAAUGUAAUCCAGCCUGAGCAACACAGUGAGACCCU
rnacentral:SRP_RNA from 1 species